rnacentral:rRNA from 1 species
GACGAACGCUGGCGGCGUGCCUAAUACAUGCAAGUCGAGCGAUGAAGUUUGGUGCUUGCACCAAUUUGAAGAGCAGCGAACGGGUGAGUAACGCGUGGGGAAUCUGCCUUUGAGCAGGGGACAACAUUUGGGAACGAAUGCUAAUACCGCAUAAUAACUUUAAACAUAAGGUUUAAGUUUGAAAGAUGCAAUUGCAUCACUCAAAGAUGAUCCCGCGUUGUAUUAGCUAGUUGGUGAGGUAAAGGCUCACCAAGGCGAUGAUACAUAGCCGACCUGAGAGGGUGAUCGGCCACAUUGGGACUGAGACACGGCCCAAACUCCUACGGGAGGCAGCAGGAGGGAAUCUUCGGCAAUGGGCGAAAGUCUGACCGAGCAACGCCGGGUGAGUGAAGAAGGGUUUCGGAUCGGAAAACUCUGUUGGUAGAGAAGAACGUUAGUGAGAGUGGAAAGCUCAUCAAGUGACGGUAACUACCCAGAAAGGGACGGCUAACUACGUG